rnacentral:lncRNA from 12 species
AUUAAACCUCAGAGGAAGAAGUUUAGUUUCACCGCGCUCUCUGUAGUUUUGUCGUAAUGCUGUCUCAAUACAAACGGUUAUAAAUGUUGUUUCUGAAUAUAUCUGGAGGAGUAUCAUCUGAACUGAGAUCUGCUGCUGUGAAGAUGGAGUUUGUUAAAGAGGAGAGUGAAGAGAACACGAGUGAACCAGAAACAUGGAGAAUAAAACACGAAAAACCAGAAACCUGCAGAAUAAAACACGAGGAACCAGAAACCUGCAGAAUAAAACACGAGAAACCAGAAACCGGGAGAAUAAAACGCGAGGAACCAGAAACCCGGAGAAUAAAACACGAGGAACAAGGAGGUUGGUGUUUAUUCUUCAUUCAUCUUUAAUUAAUUUUUGUGGUACAUACACAGAUCCUUUAUGUAAAAAUAAGACCUUAACUAUCAUUAAAAUGUCUUAAAUCCAUGUUUCAAAGCUCUUAUGGAAAUGUGACUUAACGGACACUGAGGGUAAUUAAUUAUUACUUUAAUUAGACUUUAUUUUUGCUUUAUGCAAACAUAAAACUGUUGAACUCAGAGUGUGUGAGACUGUUUUUUUUCUUUUUUAAACGUAAGUAUAAAACACAUUUUAAGUAAAGUCGCUGUAGGACUGUGGUUAUUUUAAAUCAUGUGAAUGUCUCAGAAGAGCAUUAUUUGCUUGUUUGGUACAUUUCACUGUAAGUAAGUAACAGUUUUGCAGCAGGCUUUACAAACUGACUUUUACUGUAAGAUAUAUGUGACCCUGGAGCACAAAAGCAGUCAAAAGUAGCACAGGUAUAUUUGUAGCAAUAGCCAAAAUACAUUUUAUGGGUCAAAAUUAUCAAAUUGUCUUUUAUGCCAAUGUCUGAUCUGUAAUCAGUGAUUUCUGAUGUGUAAUCAGUUCAGUCAGAUUUAAUUUGUCUCAAGUGUUAAAUAUUUGUGUGUGUGUGUGGAAAUCAAGCCAGUGACCAAACUAAACAUGGUUUCUUAUUUCUCAUUCUUAUUUUUUUUUUAAUUAAUCGAUUAAUCCAUUUUUUUUAAAAAAAGCCCAGUUUUCUUUUCUUUUUAUUUUUUCAUUUUAUUGACAAAAACACACUAUUCCAAAUUCUGUCCAAUGUCUUUCAAACAAAUGUGCCAACUUAAUGGUAUGAAAACAUACAGUGCUUAACAAUUUAUUAGACCGCCUGCCAUAAUAAAGAGAGAAAACAAACAUUUUAGGAAUCUGUAUAAAAACUGUUUAAAUCUAAAAAUGUUAUUGUCAUUUAUUGGGCAAAUAACAAACUGGAACACAUAAAUAGUAUUAAUUCACAUUGUUGGGGACUGCCCCACUAAUGCCGGUUCUUUAAUGGUGUUAACCACUUCAGUACUCUGAUCAGGGAGUCGGAGUCAUCUAAUGUCUUUCCACCAUUUAUUUAGGUGCAGGGUUUCACCAUAUACACACUGAUAUGCAUUGAAGGUAUGCAUUGAAGGUAUGCAUUGAAGGUAUGCAUUGAAGGUAGUUUCUGCAAUGAACAAUAAACAGAAGUAAAUAAUUAAAUGUCCAACAAAUAUUAGCAUACUGUUCAAAUAAAACAGCGCAUUUCAAAUUAAACAAUAUACAUAACUCUCUCUCAACGUGUAGUCAGUGAACUAAUAAUUACUGGAUGUAAACAGGAUGUAAAGGAGCAUUAAACAACUUAANNNNNNNNNNNNNNNNNNNNNNNNNNNNNNNNNNNNNNNNNNNNNNNNNNNNNNNNNNNNNNNNNNNNNNNNNNNNNNNNNNNNNNNNNNNNNNNNNNNNNNNNNNNNNNNNNNNNNNNNNNNNNNNNNNCGACUCACAUUUGUGUAAGCUCUGCAUGCGUAAACAAUGACGCGUCACUUGCGCCAAACACGAAUCACACUACCGGUUGCGUAGUGCAUAUUUACAUAAAAUAAGCUCUCACCAGAUAUAAAAUAAAAGUAUUAUUAUUAUUAAUAAUAAUAAUAAUCUAAAUAGUAUUAAAAGAUAUAUGAAGAAUUCACAACACACAUAAUAACAAAAAUGGCCUCCUAUGCCUUCCAUAACCGUUUGCAUUCAUUGUUUAGGUAUUUUUGACUCUAAUUGGGCAUCUGGGAAGGAAAAAAACACUAUAAAGUGCUUGACUAUGCUACUUUUUCCACAUUUCUUUCAUAGACAACAGCAAUAAUUAUAUUAUAGCAUUAUAAAUAGCCUACUUCUGUUACUAAAGAGCUUACACAAAUUGGAGCACUAACCAAUACAGAAAGCUAAAACAUGAUUUUGGUAAUCACCAAUACUGUUAGUUUAGAGCAGCAGUGGCACAACCUUACAUAAUCUGCUUAAAACCUUACAUAAAUUUGUUUAAAUAAAUUUAAGCAGUGAAUAUACAGUGCUCAGCAUAAAUGAGUACACCCCCUCUAAAACUUAGGCUACGUCCACACGAAGCUGGAGCUUACCCCAAUCCGAUCCUUUUUUUUCUCAUCUCAAGAAAUAUCCGCGUCCACCUGAAACCAUAAAACGAUGUAGUAUACAUGCCAGACCAGCAUGUGGCGCUGUAAUUCUGCCACAGAGAUACACUAAAAAUGGAGAAGAAGACAUGGAGUAUGCGCAUAAACCUUGCGCUUGGCACACAAACAAACAUGGAACAAUACAUUUAUUAAUCUGUGUUAAUGUUAGUUAAUAAAAAGACAAUCAUUCAGUGGGUGUUCAUUUUUUUUGUUGCUGUUACGUGACAUAGAGGUGUCUGACUAGGGGGGAGACGUGGGCUGAUGACGUCAUCGUUUCAGAAAAUAUACAGAUUCGCUGUCCACACGAAAACGCAAAGACGGAGUUUUCAGAUUUAUCCACUCUGGGACCCGGUUUCAAAAAAUAGCGGUUUCACCUUACGAAAAUGCCGGAUCCGUGUGGAUGAAACGCCUAUCCGAUAAAAAAUUUGUGCGUAUUCACAGAAACGCGUCUCCGUGUGGACGGGGCCUUAAAUUCACCAAUUACUCUUUACUUAGAAGACAUGUUAGGGUUCUUUGGAGAUAUAAUGUCCCAACAAGCCUGCUUGAUCAAUUACCAAAGAAGAAUGCCAAAAUUAUUCAGUAAAAUAAGAUUUUCUUAUCAAAGUGAUACAAUUUUGUGUUGCAAAAAUGAGUCCACCCUACUGAAAGUUACUAAAUAAAACUAAAAAAAAAGUAUAUAGGUUUAAUGGUAUUUUUGAUCAAUAGGUAAGUAUAUUGAACCAAAACUUUUAAAGACAAGUAACUUCCUAACAAUUAAAAGUGUUAUAUAGCCCACUGAAUCAUACUCCGACUUAAUGCUGGCACCAGUGGAAGCACUUGGGAGAAAACUGCCAGGAGACUUAUUUCCUAGCAUAAAAGAGGACAAUGGUACAAGAGGAGUGUGAAAAUAUAGCAGAAGUAGUACCGACAUUCAAAAACAAUAGACUUGUGAUAAGGCUCCUGAAAUAAUCAGGUCUUUACUUUAAGUUUUCAUUUAGUUAUGAGUGAAUUUUGCUAGAAAAAGAGCAGGGGAAAUAACAUGCAAGUGUUCUAAGAGCCGGCAAAAGCUAUGAAAAGACACUUUAUCUCACCGAGUAUGACACAGCCUGCAGAAGUGACAUGCAUGCUUGUUGUCAC